GACGAACGCUGGCGGCGUGCCUAAUACAUGCAAGUCGAGCGAAGUUUUUCUGGUGCUUGCACUAGAAAAACUUAGCGGCGAACGGGUGAGUAACACGUAAAGAACCUGCCUCAUAGACUGGGACAACUAUUGGAAACGAUAGCUAAUACCGGAUAACAGUAUUUCUCGCAUGAGAGAUAUUUAAAAGUUGGUUAUGCUAACACUAUGAGAUGGCUUUGCGGUGCAUUAGCUAGUUGGUGGGGUAAAGGCCCACCAAGGCGACGAUGCAUAGCCGACCUGAGAGGGUGAUCGGCCACACUGGGACUGAGACACGGCCCAGACUCCUACGGGAGGCAGCAGUAGGGAAUCUUCCGCAAUGGGCGAAAGCCUGACGGAGCAACGCCGCGUGAGUGAAGAAGGAUUUCGGUUCGUAAAGCUCUGUUGUUAGGGAAGAAUGGAUAUGUAGUAACUAUACAUGUAAGAGACAGUACCUAACCAGAAAGCCACGGCUAACUACGUG
rnacentral:rRNA from 1 species